rnacentral:lncRNA from 1 species
CCUGGGUCUCUGGAAAGAAGGAAGAGGCAACCCGGAAACACACCCAUGGCCUGGGGCAGGGAACAGGGCCUGUGCUACUGUGCAAAAGCUUUUAUCAUUUCAAAGGCGGCAAAAAAAGUAAAAAAAAAAAAAUUGAUCUUUGUUUAGAUUAACAGACCCCUGACUAUGAAGAAGGAGGGCAUCCAGACCCGAAACCGUAAGAUGUCUAGCAAAUCGAAAAAGUGCAAAAAGGUGCAUGAUGCGCUGGAGGACUUCCCCAAGAGCAGCUCCUUCAACCCGGCUGCUCUCUCCAGACACAUGUCGUCCCUGAGCCA